GUGGUUUUCAUUGUGCCUGCCGUGCUACUCAUUCUGAUAUUUGCCUUGGUCGUACUUUAUAAAUACAGAUGUUCCAAAGUGCAAGGAACCAACAUGAACAGAAUCACUGAGACAGCAGACGGAAAGGAAGUGAAGAGUGAGGACAAUGAUUAUGAAAAUCAAGAUGUAAUGGUGAGAUCAAAGCGGGGGACUUCUGAGCAGCACAGCACCUGGCACCGACGUGAUGAGGAUGCAGGUGAAGAUCAACAAGAUUCUUUGUACCAAAACUUCACAACAGAAGAUGACAUCUACUGUAAUGAAGUUUAUAUUAAAGCCAGUAACAGAUGAAUAGUAUACAUGACUUUGGUCAAAUCUGCAUUUGUGCUCAAAUGAUCCUGUUUUUGUAUUGUCUUCAUACAAAAACAUUUUCAUGUGCCAUCGUGGUUUAGCUUUCUGUCUGUCUGAAUGAAAACCUAUAGCAUGUUGUGUUGUGAUUAUUUGUACAGAGUUGAUUCAUUCGUCAGUGUGUACAUGCUUGUUGUUUGAACUCUGAUUUUACGCUGUAGUCGUUACUUUUGCGCUCGUCAUGAUUGCUUUGUUUUAAAAUGAGAAACAGUUCAACACACCUGCACUCCGUAUAAGAAAUUGUGAAUAACCAUUUCAGGCAAAUGCCCCAAAUAUAAGUUACU